rnacentral:rRNA from 1 species
UACGUAGGGUGCAAGCGUUAAUCGGAAUUACUGGGCGUAAAGCGUGCGCAGGCGGUUAUGCAAGACAGAUGUGAAAUCCCCGGGCUCAAACUGGGAACUGCAUUUGUGACUGCAUGGCUAGAGUACGGUAGAGGGGGAUGGAAUUCCGCGUGUAGCAGUGAAAUGCGUAGAUAUGCGGAGGAACACCGAUGGCGAAGGCAAUCCCCUGGACCUGUACUGACGCUCAUGCACGAAAGCGUGGGGAGCAAACAGG